rnacentral:rRNA from 1 species
GGGUUGUGAGGUUAAGCGACUAAGCGUACACGGUGGAUGCCCUGGCAGUCAGAGGCGAUGAAGGACGUGCUAAUCUGCGAUAAGCGUCGGUAAGGUGAUAUGAACCGUUAUAACCGGCGAUUUCCGAAUGGGGAAACCCAGUGUGAUUCGUCACACUAUCAUUAACUGAAUCCAUAGGUUAAUGAGGCGAACCGGGGGAACUGAAACAUCUAAGUACCCCGAGGAAAAGAAAUCAACCGAGAUUCCCCCAGUAGCGGCGAGCGAACGGGGAGCAGCCCAGAGCCUGAAUCAGUAUGUGUGUUAGUGGAAGCGUCUGGAAAGGCGCGCGAUACAGGGUGACAGCCCCGUACACAAAAAUGCACAUGCUGUGAGCUCGAUGAGUAGGGCGGGACACGUGGUAUCCUGUCUGAAUAUGGGGGGACCAUCCUCCAAGGCUAAAUACUCCUGACUGACCGAUAGUGAACCAGUACCGUGAGGGAAAGGCGAAAAGAACCCCGGCGAGGGGAGUGAAAAAGAACCUGAAACCGUGUACGUACAAGCAGUGGGAGCACAGAGCAAUCUGUGUGACUGCGUACCUUUUGUAUAAUGGGUCAGCGACUUAUAUUCUGUAGCAAGGUUAACCGAAUAGGGGAGCCGAAGGGAAACCGAGUCUUAACUGGGCGUUAAGUUGCAGGGUAUAGACCCGAAACCCGGUGAUCUAGCCAUGGGCAGGUUGAAGGUUGGGUAACACUAACUGGAGGACCGAACCGACUAAUGUUGAAAAAUUAGCGGAUGACUUGUGGCUGGGGGUGAAAGGCCAAUCAAACCGGGAGAUAGCUGGUUCUCCCCGAAAGCUAUUUAGGUAGCGCCUCGUGAAUUCAUCUCCGGGGGUAGAGCACUGUUUCGGCAAGGGGGUCAUCCCGACUUACCAACCCGAUGCAAACUGCGAAUACCGGAGAAUGUUAUCACGGGAGACACACGGCGGGUGCUAACGUCCGUCGUGAAGAGGGAAACAACCCAGACCGCCAGCUAAGGUCCCAAAGUCAUGGUUAAGUGGGAAACGAUGUGGGAAGGCCCAGACAGCCAGGAUGUUGGCUUAGAAGCAGCCAUCAUUUAAAGAAAGCGUAAUAGCUCACUGGUCGAGUCGGCCUGCGCGGAAGAUGUAACGGGGCUAAACCAUGCACCGAAGCUGCGGCAGCGACGCUUAUGCGUUGUUGGGUAGGGGAGCGUUCUGUAAGCCUGUGAAGGUGUGCUGUGAGGCAUGCUGGAGGUAUCAGAAGUGCGAAUGCUGACAUAAGUAACGAUAAAGCGGGUGAAAAGCCCGCUCGCCGGAAGACCAAGGGUUCCUGUCCAACGUUAAUCGGGGCAGGGUGAGUCGACCCCUAAGGCGAGGCCGAAAGGCGUAGUCGAUGGGAAACAGGUUAAUAUUCCUGUACUUGGUGUUACUGCGAAGGGGGGACGGAGAAGGCUAUGUUGGCCGGGCGACGGUUGUCCCGGUUUAAGCGUGUAGGCUGGUUUUCCAGGCAAAUCCGGAAAAUCAAGGCUGAGGCGUGAUGACGAGGCACUGCGGUGCUGAAGCAACAAAUGCCCUGCUUCCAGGAAAAGCCUCUAAGCAUCAGGUAACAUCAAAUCGUACCCCAAACCGACACAGGUGGUCAGGUAGAGAAUACCAAGGCGCUUGAGAGAACUCGGGUGAAGGAACUAGGCAAAAUGGUGCCGUAACUUCGGGAGAAGGCACGCUGAUAUGUAGGUGAAGUCCCUCGCGGAUGGAGCUGAAAUCAGUCGAAGAUACCAGCUGGCUGCAACUGUUUAUUAAAAACACAGCACUGUGCAAACACGAAAGUGGACGUAUACGGUGUGACGCCUGCCCGGUGCCGGAAGGUUAAUUGAUGGGGUCAGCGCAAGCGAAGCUCUUGAUCGAAGCCCCGGUAAACGGCGGCCGUAACUAUAACGGUCCUAAGGUAGCGAAAUUCCUUGUCGGGUAAGUUCCGACCUGCACGAAUGGCGUAAUGAUGGCCAGGCUGUCUCCACCCGAGACUCAGUGAAAUUGAACUCGCUGUGAAGAUGCAGUGUACCCGCGGCAAGACGGAAAGACCCCGUGAACCUUUACUAUAGCUUGACACUGAACAUUGAGCCUUGAUGUGUAGGAUAGGUGGGAGGCUUGGAAGUGUGGACGCCAGUCUGCAUGGAGCCGACCUUGAAAUACCACCCUUUAAUGUUUGAUGUUCUAACGUUGACCCGUAAUCCGGGUUGCGGACAGUGUCUGGUGGGUAGUUUGACUGGGGCGGUCUCCUCCUAAAGAGUAACGGAGGAGCACGAAGGUUGGCUAAUCCUGGUCGGACAUCAGGAGGUUAGUGCAAUGGCAUAAGCCAGCUUGACUGCGAGCGUGACGGCGCGAGCAGGUGCGAAAGCAGGUCAUAGUGAUCCGGUGGUUCUGAAUGGAAGGGCCAUCGCUCAACGGAUAAAAGGUACUCCGGGGAUAACAGGCUGAUACCGCCCAAGAGUUCAUAUCGACGGCGGUGUUUGGCACCUCGAUGUCGGCUCAUCACAUCCUGGGGCUGAAGUAGGUCCCAAGGGUAUGGCUGUUCGCCAUUUAAAGUGGUACGCGAGCUGGGUUUAGAACGUCGUGAGACAGUUCGGUCCCUAUCUGCCGUGGGCGCUGGAGAACUGAGGGGGGCUGCUCCUAGUACGAGAGGACCGGAGUGGACGCAUCACUGGUGUUCGGGUUGUCAUGCCAAUGGCACUGCCCGGUAGCUAAAUGCGGAAGAGAUAAGUGCUGAAAGCAUCUAAGCACGAAACUUGCCCCGAGAUGAGUUCUCCCUGACUCCUUGAGAGUCCUGAAGGAACGUUGAAGACGACGACGUUGAUAGGCCGGGUGUGUAAGCGCAGCGAUGCGUUGAGCUAACCGGUACUAAUGAGCCGUGAGGCUUAACCUUACAACGCCGAAGGUGUUU